rnacentral:rRNA from 1 species
GACGAACGCUGGCGGCGUGCUUAACACAUGCAAGUCGAGCGGUAGGGCCCUUUCGGGGGUACGACGAGCGGCGAACGGGUGAGUAACACGUGGGUGACCUGCCCUUAGCUCUGGGAUAAGCCUGGGAAACUGGGUCUAAUACCGGAUAUGACUCCAUAACGCAUGUUGUGGGGUGGAAAGCCUUGUGCGGCUAGGGAUGGGCCCGCGGCCUAUCAGCUUGUUGGUGGGGUGAUGGCCACCAAGGCGACGACGGGUAGCCGGCCUGAGAGGGCAACCGGCCACACUGGGACUGAGACACGGCCCAGACUCCUACGGGAGGCAGCAGUGGGGAAUCUUGCGCAAUGGGCGAAAGCCUGACGCAGCGACGCCGCGUGGGGA